AGUGAACGCUGGCGGUAGGCCUAACACAUGCAAGUCGAACGGCAGCACAGUAAGAGCUUGCUCUUACGGGUGGCGAGUGGCGGACGGGUGAGGAAUACAUCGGAAUCUACUUUUUCGUGGGGGAUAACGUAGGGAAACUUACGCUAAUACCGCAUACGAUCUACGGGUGAAAGCAGGGGAUCUUCGGACCUUGCGCGAUUGAAUGAGCCGAUGUCGGAUUAGCUAGUUGGCGGGGUAAGGGCCCACCAAGGCAACGAUCCGUAGCUGGUCUGAGAGGAUGAUCAGCCACACUGGAACUGAGACACGGUCCAGACUCCUACGGGAGGCAGCAGUGGGGAAUAUUGGACAAUGGGCGCAAGCCUGAUCCAGCCAUACCGCGUGAGUGAAGAAGGCCUUCGGGUUGUAAAGCCCUUUUGUUGGGAAAGAAAAGCAGCAGGUUAAUACCCCGCUGUUCUGACGGUACCCAAAGAAUAAGCACCGGCUAACUUCGUG
rnacentral:rRNA from 1 species